UCGAGUCCCCUAAAGAGCCCUCGAAGACUACGAGGUUGAUAGGCUGGGUGUGUAAGCGUUGUGAGGCGUUGAGCUAACCAGUACUAAUUGCUCGUGAGGCUUGAUCAUAUAACUUGAGC
rnacentral:rRNA from 1 species